rfam:Camelus ferus unplaced genomic scaffold scaffold765, whole genome shotgun sequence.
GAGGGUAUAGCUCCAGUGAUAGAGCACAUGCCUAGCAUGCAUGAGGUCCUGGGUUCAAUCCCCAGUACCGCCA